rnacentral:rRNA from 1 species
GUGGGGAAUAUUGCACAAUGGGCGCAAGCCUGAUGCAGCCAUGCCGCGUGUAUGAAGAAGGCCUUCGGGUUGUAAAGUACUUUCAGCGGGGAGGAAGGCAUUGUGGUUAAUAACCGCAGUGAUUGACGUUACCCGCAGAAGAAGCACCGGCUAACUCCGUGCCAGCAGCCGCGGUAAUACGGAGGGUGCAAGCGUUAAUCGGAAUUACUGGGCGUAAAGCGCACGCAGGCGGUCUGUUAAGUCAGAUGUGAAAUCCCCGGGCUUAACCUGGGAACUGCAUUUGAAACUGGCAGGCUUGAGUCUCGUAGAGGGGGGUAGAAUUCCAGGUGUAGCGGUGAAAUGCGUAGAGAUCUGGAGGAAUACCGGUGGCGAAGGCGGCCCCCUGGACGAAGACUGACGCUCAGGUGCGAAAGCGUGGGGAGCAA